rnacentral:misc_RNA from 1 species
UGGAAAAAUUGGCAUGCUUCAUACAAUAAAUGGCUUGUGAGGUACAUGUAUAUUCCUCUUGGAGGUACGCAUAGAAAGCUACUCAAUAUAUGGAUUGUAUUCACAUUUGUUGCUUUAUGGCAUGAUCUAGAGUGGAAACUUCUUUCAUGGGCAUGGUUGACAUGUUUAUUCUUUAUUCCAGAAAUGAUGGUGAAAUCAGUG